rnacentral:rRNA from 1 species
UACGAAGGGGGCUAGCGUUGCUCGGAAUCACUGGGCGUAAAGCGCACGUAGGCGGAUCUUUAAGUCAGGGGUGAAAUCCUGGAGCUCAACUCCAGAACCGCCUUUGAUACUGGGGAUCUCGAGUCCGGAAGAGGUGAGUGGAACUCCGAGUGUAGAGGUGAAAUUCGUAGAUAUUCGGAAGAACACCAGUGGCGAAGGCGGCUCACUGGUCCGGUACUGACGCUGAGGCACGAAAGCGUGGGGAGCAAACAGG